AGUGAACGCUGGCGGUAGGCCUAACACAUGCAAGUCGAACGGCAGAACAGUAAUUGCUUGUUCUUACGGGUGCCGAGUGGUGGAUGGGUGCGGAAAAUAUGCGAAGUUACGUUUUCGUAGGGGCUAACACGGGGAAUAUUACCCCAUACCUCCUUAGGACGAAAGGGGGGAAGCUGGGGACCUCAGGCCAUUGGGGGAGUCAAUGGCCGGAUGUCGGAUUAGCUAGUUGGCGGGGUAAAGGCCCACCAAGGCGACGAUCCGUAGCUGGUCUGAGAGGAUGAUCAGCCACACUGGAACUGAGACACGGUCCAGACUCCUACGGGAGGCAGCAGUGGGGAAUAUUGGACAAUGGGCGCAAGCCUGAUCCAGCCAUACCGCGUGGGUGAAGAAGGCCUUCGGGUUGUAAAGCCCUUUUGUUGGGAAAGAAAAGCAGCAGGUUAAUACCCCGCUGUUCUGACGUUACCCAAAGAAUAAGCACCGGCUAACUUCGUG
rnacentral:rRNA from 1 species